rnacentral:rRNA from 1 species
GAUGAACGCUGGCGGCGUGCCUAAUACAUGCAAGUCGAGCGAAUGGAUUAAGAGCUUGCUCUUAUGAAGUUAGCGGCGGACGGGUGAGUAACACGUGGGUAACCUGCCCAUAAGACUAGGAUAACUCCGGGAAACCGGGGCUAAUACCGGAUAACAUGUUGAACCGCAUGGUUCGAAAUUGAAAGGCGGCUUCGGCUGUCACUUAUGGAUGGACCCGCGUCGCAUUAGCUAGUUGGUGGGGUAUGGGCUCACCAAGGCAACGAUGCGUAGCCGACCUGAGAGGGGGAUCGGCCACACUGGGACGGAGACACGGCCCAGACUCCUACGGGAGGCAGCAGUAGGGAAUCUUCCGCAAUGGACGAAAGUCUGACGGAGCAACGCCGCGUGAGUGAUGAAGGCUUUCGGGUCGUAAAACUCUGUUGUUAGGGAAGAACAAGUGCUAGUUGAAUAAGCUGGCACCUUGACGGUACCUAACCAGAAAGCCACGGCUAACUACGUGCCAGCCGCCGCCGUAA